AGGUUUUAAGUUAACUUAAACUAUGAGCCUUCAAAGCUUAAAAUAAAAACCAUUUUUUAAACCUUG
rnacentral:tRNA from 1 species